UAAAGUUAUGGUACCGAAGUUA
rnacentral:miRNA from 3 species